rnacentral:rRNA from 1 species
UACAGGGGGUGCUAGCGUUGUUCGGAAUUACUGGGCGUAAAGGGCUCGUAGGUGGCCAACUAAGUCAGACGUGAAAUCCCUCAGCUUAACUGGGGAACUGCGUCUGAUACUGGAUGGCUUGAGUUCGGGAGAGGGAUGCGGAAUUCCACGUGUAGCAGUGAAAUGCGUAGAGAUGUGGAGGAAUACCGAUGGCGAAGGCA